rnacentral:sRNA from 1 species
GUGUGUGAUAAUAAGCAUGGAAUAUUGCCAAGCAAGGAAGCUCAUCUGAGGCUCAGCAUUCAAAGUUUUUAUUGCGGUUUCAUUAAAUAGGUUUGAAGUCAUGACAUGCUACCCUCCCAGCAUCAGUGUGUGAUAAUAGGCAUGGAAUAUUGCCAAGCAAGGAAGCUCACCUGAGCCUCAGUGUUCAAAGUUUUUAUUGAGGUUUCAUUACAUAGGUUUGAUUGAUGGAUGGAUGGAUUACAUGACUGAUCUCAGUUUCCAGGUUGACUGAUACCACAUAACCCAAAGCUCUCACCCUAAGUCACAUGUUAGUCUCUCUGGCAUGGCCAGCUCCCACUCUAAGACUCUUAGGUAUGACCAGCUCCACCCUAAACAAAGACAUUUCUAUGACAUUACUUUCUGGAAGCUAAGGCAAAGGCCAGCCCUCUCUUUGGGCCAAACCAAACUCUUGACUACAUGGGCAGGAAAUGUAUAAGAGAAGCUGGAAAAUCUUGUCACACCAGAAAGAAAAGAAACUGUCAAAGACCAAUGUACUCAUUUCAGAAAGACUCAGGACCCACUUGAAAGAUCUCCCAUUAGUCAAAGAUGAUAUAAUUUGAUUUAAAAAACAAAUAAAUGAUUAAAACACCUAAAAUAUGUUAAAAUCUGUAAGGUCAUAAUGAUAAUCAUAAUAAUAAACCUGGUAGUCCCUUUUAUAGGAUGCUAGAGCACCAAAUCACUAUUCACAAAACUGAUAAAUAGGAAGAAGUAAGCAUUUACCCUGUUCCCUGUACAAAUUAUACUUCAAAGUCACCAAUUAAUUGAUGAAAGAAAACUUUACAGAAGAAUUGUAACUAAUAUAUUAGAAGGAUUAUAGAAUAAUAUUAUCAUCAUUUGAGUUUCAACACAUUCAUUAACCCUCAUACCACAGAAAGAUGCAAGAAGAGCAAACCACCACCUCUGGGGCAUCCUUGUCAAAAAAUUGAACCUGAAUCUGAUCAAGUCUCUAGUUAGAACUACUAGUUUGCAAGAAAUACAGAGGGCAGAGAAACAUGUUAAAUGACACCAUAAGGCUGCAAUCACAAAAAUCCAAAAUGUGAGAAAUGCUACAGGACAAAGAACCCAGUUUCUUUAACAAAUGAAUUGCAAGGAGAAAAGAAAGAAAAGUAUCCUGUGAAUUAAUAGAUUUGAGGAACAUCAAAUAAAAUGGGAUGAAGUGUCCUCUUGCUAGCACCAAUAAAAGAUUUCUAAUUAACACAAUUAAAAACACAUUGCCCUCUCAUAAAGAGCAAGACCAUGAACAAAAAGAGGGCGAUAAGGAACCAGCGAAGAGCCAGGCCCAGAAAGAAGAAAACCCAAAGAAACACAGAAGCCAUCCUUACAAGCACAGCUUCCGCGCUCGAGGUUCCGCCAGUUACUCCCCGCCACGAAAGCGGAGCAGCCAGGACAAGUACGAAAAGCGGUCCAACCGGCGGUGAGGCUGGAACCAGGGCCAGCCAGCCCUGCGGGCCUCCGUGCUCCCUCGGGGUGCGGUGUGCGGAGAAGGCGUGAGCUGGCAGGGCAAACACCUGAGAGUGACUUUGACAGUAGGUCCUUUGUUGUUUUUAAAGAGGCUGCUGGCCACAGGCAAAAAAAUGACCUAGUAACUCUUGAGGAAACAAGUACAAAGGAGGAUGUCUUGGCAAGUUUAAGCUACUUCCGCAGUGUAGUAGACUUACGUAUUGUUGUUUAUCUUGUUUGGAAGUGUGUUUCAAAAUAAACAUGUCUAGAAUUUAAAGUUUUCGGAGAUUGUUAAAACUGGUUCCAAUUUUCUGGUCAUUUCUCAGAAAAAUAAAAUACUUAAAAAUUCUAUAUUUUACUUUUUGGGGGUAUCACAUUUAAAAUUUAGAAAUCAUCAGUCCAGCGACCAUAUUUAUGAAAAGCUGUAGCCCUCCAAGGUCUGGGAAUUUAUUGAGAAGCUCUUUGAUAGCUCUGCUUUUGUUUUCCCUUAGGUGAACAAUGUAGGAAAUCCUCAAAGUGGCUUUGAAUUUAAUGCUCCACUUCAGUUACCAGAGGUUAAAAAUGGGUUUUGUUGUUUCCUGUGCAUUCUCAAACUCAUUUAUUAGAUAGAACAAUCUUUCUAUAUUUAAUUUUUUUAAUAUAUAGGUCUUAAGUGGUGCUUUAAAAAGAACCCUCACAAGUUAAAAAUUAACAGUUGUUUCAGUGCUAGAUCUUACCAGCUAAAGACUUGUGAUACCACUGUAUAGUAUAGUUGUUCCAGAAAUCUUCAUUUUAAAUAGAAGUGUUUACAAUGCCUUUUUUCCCCCAGUAUUGGUUUUCAAUACCUGUUUUCAUAUACAAUUACAAACCUUUCAAACCUGUAUUCCUUCUUUAUACUCAGGAAAAUGUCACCAAGCACCCUCCUCCCCAGUCCACAAAAGGAAGAAGAUGAGGAUUCUGUCUCCCUGUUCCCCCUCCCCAGUUUUCCAAAGUGUCUGAGCAUAUGCCUGGCUGUCCUUAGAUCAUCACCAUGCCACAUCCCUGCUCCCCACUUCCUGGCAGCCAAGAAAAGCCCUUUCUACAUGCUAGAAGGAAAUACAUCCAAAAAGUUAGCAUUGGAGUGUUAGAAACUAGAAUAGACCUCUCUGCCACCGAGCUGCUGUGUCACACCCUCAGCCUGCUAGGGAGUGACAAACCCAAAUCAUUCUUGAUCCACCCCUUCUGCCACCCCAGAUCCCAGGGACUCAUCCUGUGACUUUGUAACCACACUCAUUCCUUUCAAACACAGAGGAGGAAUUAUUGCUUCAUCUGACUUUAUUCAAAUCUAGUUAUGUAUUAGCCUAAAUUAUUUGUGCAAAAUUUGAAAUGUUUUUUAUUUAAAUAUUAGAAAUAGCACAA